rnacentral:misc_RNA from 1 species
GAAAUGCGAUACGUAGUGUGAAUUGCAGAAUUCCGUGAACCAUCGAAUCUUUGAACGCAAAUUGCGCUCGAGGCCUCGGCCAAGAGCAUGUCUGCCUCAGCGUCGGCUACUACCCUCAACUAAGUUCCCUAUUCUCAUAGGGGAUACCGGUUGGAUCUGGCCGUCCGGUUUUCCUUUCAGGUUGCCGGUCAGCUGAAAUACAUUCACGCUCUGGGGGCUGCUUUCCUUUCGAGGAGAGGCGAGUUCCGAUUUGGUAGGUGACCUUUGCCGGUUACAUGCCUUCGUUGCCCGCUAAGUUUCCCAGUAUGCGUUGUGCAGGACGCCUUUUGGCUUUCGACCUGAGGUCAGGCAAGAACACCCGCUGAACUUAA